rnacentral:rRNA from 1 species
AGAGAGGAGGGGGAAGUCGUAACAAGGUUUCCGUAGGUGAACCUGCGGAAGGAUCAUUG